AUUCCGGCUCCAAUAGCGUAUAUUAAAGUUGUUGCGGUUAAAAAGCUCGUAGUUGGAUUUCUGUUGAGGUUGGGCGGUCCGCACUACGUGCGAGUAUCUGCUUCGGCCUUGGCAUCCUCUCGGAAAACGCUACUGUGCUUGAUUGCAUGGUGCGGGGUUCGGGACUUUUACUUUGAGGAAAUUAGAGUGUUCACGGCAGGCAAUCGCCCUGAAUAUAUUAGCAUGGAAUAAUAAUAUAGGAUCUGAUGCCUAUUUUGUUGGUUUCUAGGCGUGAGAUAAUGAUUAAUAGGGACAAUUGGGGGGAUUCGUAUUAUGGCGUCAGAGGUGGAAUUCUUGGAUUGCCAUACGACGAACUACUGCGAAAGCAUUUCUCAGGGAUGUUUUCAUUA
rnacentral:rRNA from 1 species